AAAGUGAGAAAAGUAGUGACAGCUUGAAGCUGGUAGUUGAGGAAGCAAGAGAACUUCUGAACCCAUGAAGAGCGUAUACCCGGUUUGGGUGGGCAGGACUCCAAAGCCUUUAGGAUCGAUGGACCAGAACAGAGAAAUGAAAAUGCAACAAAAACAGCUGUGGGGAAAAGGCAGAAGGCAGCACUGAGGAGUAAAGGAAUAUUUGGGAGGAUCAGAAGCUUGGUCCUGAUUUUGCCAUCAACCAGGACCUUGAUGACUUCAAGGGAGUCCCCAAACCCUGGGUUUCUGUUUUCUCAACUCUAACAUGAGGGGCUAGACGCAUCUGGUUUAGUUCGUCUCCAUGAUCCUGUGAAUUUCAGAUGUUGAAAAUCUUCAGAAAAGCCCUGAAAGAUGAAGAGUGGUCUCAAAUAGUCAAGACCCCCUGCUGGGGGGAGCGUCUAUCCUGCUCUGUGGAAGAAAUGGGC
rnacentral:antisense_RNA from 1 species